rnacentral:tRNA from 4 species
UCUAAUAUGGCAGAUUAGUGCAAUGAAUUUAAGCUUCAUAUAUAAAGAUUCUUAUCUUUUAUUAGAA